rnacentral:rRNA from 1 species
CUGCGGCCUAUCAGCUAGUUGGUGGGGUAACGGCCUACCAAGGCUAUGACGGGUAUCCGGCCUGAAAGGGUGAACGGACACACUGGAACUGAGACACGGUCCAGACUCCUACGGGAGGCAGCAGUGGGGAAUUUUGGACAAUGGGGGAAACCCUGAUCCAGCGACGCCGCGUGGAGGACGAAGGCCUUCGGGUUGUAAACUCCUUUAGUGGGGGACGAAAAAAAUGACGGUACCCCAAGAAUAAGCCACGGCUAACUACGUGCCAGCAGCCGCGGUAAUACGUAGGUGGCGAGCGUUACUCGGAAUUACUAGGCGUAAAGCGUAUGUAGGCGGUCUAAUAAGUCCUCGGUGAAAUUUUCCGGCUUAACCGGAAAGGGCACGAGGAUACUGUCAGGCUUGAGUGUGGCAGGGGGAGACGGAAUUCCUGGUGUAGCGGUGAAAUGCGUAGAUAUCAGGAGGAACACCGAUGGCGAAAGCAGUCUCCUGGGCCAAUACUGACGCUAAUGUACGAAAGCUAGGGUAGCAAACAGGAUUAGAUACCCUGGUAGUCCUAGCUGUAAACGAUGUUCACUAGAUGUGGGAGGUAUCGACCCCUUCCGCGUCGACGCUAACGCAUUAAGUGAACCGCCUGGGGAGUACGGCCGCAAGGUUGAAACUCAAAGGAAUUGACGGGGGCCCGCACAAGCGGUGGAGUAUGUGGUUUAAUUCGACGCAACGCGAAAAACCUUACCUGGGCUUGAACUGCUAAUGGUAAAAACCGGAAACGGCAAUGACCCGCAAGGGAGUUAGCAGAGGUGCUGCAUGGCUGUCGUCAGCUCGUGUCGUGAGAUGUUGGGUUAAGUCCCGCAACGAGCGCAACCCUUAUCCCAUGUUACCCGUAGCAAUACGGGGUCUCUGAGGAAACUGCCAUCGAUAAGAUGGAGGAAGGUGGGGACGACGUCAAGUCAUCAUGGCCUUUAUGUCCAGGGCUACACACGUACUACAAUGGCCGGCACAGAGGGCAGCGAGACCGCAAGGUGGAGCAAAUCCCUAAAAACCGGCCUCAGUUCAGAUUGUGGGCUGCAAUUCGCCCACAUGAAGUAGGAAUCGCUAGUAAUCGCAGAUCAGCA